AGGACGAACGCUGGCGGCGUGCCUAACACAUGCAAGUCGAACGGGGUUACGAGAGCUUGCUCUUGUAACUUAGUGGCGAACGGGUGAGUAACGCGUGAGAAACCUGCCUCUCAGUGGGGGACAACAGUUGGAAACGACUGCUAAUACCGCAUAACACUUUAGUACCGCGUGGUACAGAAGUCAAAGCUUUAUGUGCUGAGAGAUGGUCUCACGUCUGAUUAGCUAGAUGGCGGGGUAACGGCCCACCAUGACGACGAUCAGUAGCCGGUCUGAGAGGAUGAACGGCCACAUUGGGACUGAGAUACGGCCCAGACUCCUACGGGAGGCAGCAGUGGGGAAUAUUGGGCAAUGGGGGAAACCCUGACCCAGCAACGCCGCGUGAAGGAAGAAGGCCUUCGGGUUGUAAACUUCUUUUACCAGGGACGAAGAACGUGACGGUACCUGGAGAAAAAGCAACGGCUAACUACGUG
rnacentral:rRNA from 1 species